rnacentral:lncRNA from 1 species
UUUUUCUUUCCUAGAUGAGUUUGGUUUCGUAUUUCUAACAGCUUUGUUCUGAUUUACGCUUUUCCCCUGCAGUUGUUUCUUGCUGUAUUAGUGUUAUCCCAAUAUAUGCUGAUUUUCUUGUUCCCCAACCGAAUCUUUUCAUUGAUUUAUUUUCGUGGAAAUCCCUUCGUGUCUCCCAGCUGUUUUUAAGUCGUAGCCUGGCCUACGCAUAACUUUUUA